rnacentral:rRNA from 1 species
UACAGAGGGUGCAAGCGUUGUUCGGAAUUACUGGGCGUAAAGCGUGCGCAGGCGGUGAUGUAAGACAGGUGUGAAAUCCCCGGGCUUAACCUGGGAACUGCAUUUGUGACUGCAUCGCUGGAGUGCGGCAGAGGGGGAUGGAAUUCCGCGUGUAGCAGUGAAAUGCGUAGAUAUCAGGAGGAACACCGAUGGCGAAGGCAGGUCUCUGGGCUGACACUGACACUCAUGCACGAAAGCGUGGGGAGCAAACAGG